rnacentral:autocatalytically_spliced_intron from 3 species
CCCUGCUAGUCAAGUGAUUGGCUAGUAGUGAGGGUUAACUGCGGGCAAUCCCUAAAGCUGAUUGAACUACAACGUGGCUAGAAAUGGCGAGCGUGAAUGUCGCGAAAGCAGAAAAAAUCAAUCAGAUGGUGCAAGGUUAAAUCCUAAACACUAGAACAAUGGGUCUUCCGCCUCGAAUCAUCUAAGUCAAAAGUGAUAAGAUGAACGUUCAACGACUAUCUCGUAUAACUGACGAGAGUACAUCACAAGCCUAUGGUGGUGGAAAAAUCCUCUAUCUCUAAAGAGAUAAACAUAUAGUCUGCGCUCAUGUGAAAACAUGAG